rnacentral:misc_RNA from 1 species
GGAAUCUUCCGCAAUGGGCGAAAGCCUGACGGAGCAACGCCGCGUGAGUGAUGAAGGUUUUCGGAUCGUAAAGCUCUGUUGCCAGGGAAGAACGUCUUGUAGAGUAACUGCUACAAGAGUGACGGUACCUGAGAAGAAAGCCCCGGCUAACUACGUGCCAGCAGCCGCGGUAAUACGUAGGGGGCAAGCGUUGUCCGGAAUUAUUGGGCGUAAAGCGCGCGCAGGCGGCUCUUUAAGUCUGGUGUUUAAUCCCGAGGCUCAACUUCGGGUCGCACUGGAAACUGGAGAGCUUGAGUGCAGAAGAGGAGAGUGGAAUUCCACGUGUAGCGGUGAAAUGCGUAGAGAUGUGGAGGAGCACCAGUGGCGAAGGCGACUCUCUGGGCUGUAACUGACGCUGAGGCGCGAAAGCGUGGGGAGCAAACAGGA